rnacentral:rRNA from 1 species
UGUCUCUCUAGUGGUGAUAUUAUUCAUAAGAUGAAAUCUCUUGAUGAUGAUAACUCCAGAAGGCGCUUCUACAAAAGAAUAUUCCCUCGAGAAAGUGGAUGCCCCGUUGAACUGGAGCAAGUAUCAGAAUAAAUUUUGAAGAAAUGUGGUGGCGUGGCACUAGCCAUCAUUACUAUAGCAAGCCUCUUGGCUGGCAAUGAUCAACAGAUAAAGUCAAAGGAUCAAUGGGACAAAAUACUUGGUUCAAUUGGUCGUGGACUUGCAGAAGGUCGUACUGUGGAGGAUAUGAAGAGAAUACUAUCCUUUAGUUAUUACGAUUUACCUUCUCAUUUAAAGACAUGUUUACUAUAUCUGAGUAUAUUCCCUGAAGAUUCUUGGAUAAAUAGAGACCGAUUGAUAUGCAGGUGGAUAGCUGAAGGCUUUAUCCAAGGUGGAGACCAAGGAAUUAGACUAUUUGAGCUUGGAGAGAGAUACUUCAGUGAGCUAUUAAAUAGAAACUUGAUUCAGUCAGGAUAUGAUAAUGAAGGCAGGCUGAUAUAUUGCCAUGUACAUGAUAUGGUACUUGAUCUCAUAUGUUCUCUAUCAAGUGAAGACAACUUCGUUACUAUAUUCGAUGGUACUAAGCAAAGCAAAAUGAAUUCGGAUAGCUUGGUUCGCAGGUUAUCCUUUCAGAAUAACAUGUCAGAACCCAACACACAUUGGGUCAAUGCCACAAGUAUGUCAAAGUUGAGGUCAAUUACUCUGUUUAGAACUGAUGUUUUAAUUCAGACUCUUUCCAGCUUUGAACUUCUGCGUGUAUUGGAUUUACAAGGGUGCGACCUUAGGGAAAGUGGCAACCACAUUGAUCUUAGAUGUGUUGGGAAAUUAUUACAUCUGAGGUACCUAGGGUUACAAGGUACAUAUCUUGAUGUUCUCCCCAUGGAAAUUGGAAAGCUACAAUUUUUGCAAACACUGGACUUGAGAACGUUUGGAUCAAUGGAGGUGCCAUCAAGUGUUGUUCGGUUAGGACAUUUGAUGUGCCUAUAUGUUUAUCCAAAUAUGAGAUUGCCAGAUGGGAUAGGAAACUUGGUGUCCAUAGAAGAGCUCAAGUUUGUUAAGGUGUGUGGUACUGAUGAGAUUGAGAAAGAGCUAGGGAAGCUGGUGGAGCUGAGGGUGCUUCGCCUUUUGUGGGAGGCAGAAGAAGACGAGAGAGUGUGUGAAUCUUUGUUGGUAUCCCUUGGCAAUCUGCAGAAAUUGUGUAGUCUAAGUAUUUCUAAUUGGGGGGCUGCAAGGCUCGAUGUCAGCUGGGACGGCUGGCUACCCCCUCCACACCUCCAGUCCUCCUUUGAGUUCAAUUUUUGUACCUCGACAUUGCCUAGAUGGGUCAACUCAUCGUUGUUCCCCGUCCUCUCCUACUUGGAACUAAGAGUGGAUAAAUUGAGGCCAGAGGUCGACAUUCAAAUCCUUGGGAAGUUGCCAACUCUUCUUUCUCUAUUUCUGGGAACUAGACUUCAAUUGACUCCCGUCGAAAGCUUCAUCAUUGACGAUAAUGCAUUCCCUUGCCUGAGAAGGUGCAAAUUUAGUGGGUUUGAGACGGGGCCAUCUAUGUUUCCGCGAGGAUCUAUGCCGAGGCUUGAAUACCUUAGCUUCAAUGUCCGAGCGGCGCGCAUUGUUAAUGGUGACUUGGAUUUCGGCAUGGGGCAUCUCCCUUCUCUCCAGGAAGUCAACAUUUGUCUUUGGUCGGAGGAGUACCGCUCGCCAGUAGUGCUGAAAGCAUGUGAUAUGCUGGAGCUCACAUUGGCCUCCCAUCAAAACCAUCCAAAGCUUCUCUCUCAGGAUUGGAGUCGUAAGUCUUCUCUCUCACACACCUAG